rnacentral:rRNA from 1 species
GAACCUGCGGAGGGAUCAUUACAGAGUUGCAAAACUCCCUAAACCAUUGUGAACGUUACCUAAACCGUUGCUUCGGCGGGCGGCCCGGGUCCUUCCCGGCGCCCCUCGGCCCUCGCGGGCGCCCGCCGGAGGUAAACCAAACUAUUGCAUUGUAUGGCCUCUCUGAGUCUUCUGUACUGAAUAAGUCAAAACUUUCAACAACGGAUCUCUUGGUUCUGGCAUCGAUGAAGAACGCAGCGAAAUGCGAUAAGUAAUGUGAAUUGCAGAAUUCAGUGAAUCAUCGAAUCUUUGAACGCACAUUGCGCCCGCCAGUAUUCUGGCGGGCAUGCCUGUUCGAGCGUCAUUUCAACCAUCAAGCCCCGGGCUUGUGUUGGGGACCUGCGGCUGCCGCAGGCCCUGAAAUGCAGUGGCGGGCUCGCUGUCACUCCGAGCGUAGUAGUUACAUCUCGCUCUGGGCGUGCUGCGGGUUCCGGCCGUUAAAAGCCUUAUUUACCCAAGGUUGACCUCGGAUCAGGUAGGAAGACCCGCUGAACUUAAGCAUAUCAAU